rnacentral:misc_RNA from 1 species
UGAUUGAUGAAGAAGCUUUGGUGAGGGCACUUGAUGCAGGCAUUGUGGCACAGGCAGCACUUGAUGUUUUCACUGUGGAGCCGCCACCAAAGGAUAGCAAGUUGAUUCAACAUGAGAAUGUGACUGCAACUCCACAUCUUGGUGCUAGUACUACAGAGGCUCAGGAAGGUGUGGCAAUUGAGGUCGCUGAAGCAGUUGUUGGCGCUUUGAAAGGGGAACUCUCAGCUACUGCUGUCAAUGCACCUAUGGUUCCUGCUGAGGUGCUAUUAGAGCUUAAGCCUUUUGUUGUACUUGCUGAAAAACUUGGUAGACUUGCUGUCCAGUUGGUUGCCGGUGGAAGUGGUGUUAAAUCAGUGAAAGUAACAUAUGGUUCAGCUAGAGCACCUGAUGAUCUUGAUACAAGAUUGCUUCGUGCCAUGAUAACUAAAGGCAUGAUUGAGCCAAUUUCCAGUGUUUUCAUUAACUUAGUUAAUGCAGAUUUCACUGCUAAACAAAGGGGACUACAGAUAUCUGAAGAACGACUUAUCCUAGAUGGUUCACCAGAAAGUCCAGUUGAGUUCAUUCAGGUUCAGAUAGCCAAUGUAGAAUCCAAGUUUGCCAGUGCUAUUUCAGACUUGGGAGAGAUUAGAGUGGAGGGUAGAGUUAAGGAUGGAGUACCUCAUUUGACAAAGGUGGGUUCUUUUGAAGUGGAUGUGAGCUUGGAAGGCAGUAUCAUUCUUUGCAGUCAGGUUGAUCAGCCAGGAAUGAUUGGAAAAGUGGGUAGCGUCUUGGGUGAGGAGAAUGUGAAUGUCAGCUUCAUGAG